UGGUGUAGCGGUGAAAUGCUUAGAUAUCACGAAGAACUCCGAUUGCGAAGGCAGCCUGCUAAGCUGCAACUGACAUUGAGGCUCGAAAGUGUGGGUAUCAAACAGGAUUAGAUACCCUGGUAGUCCACACGGUAAACGAUGAAUACUCGCUGUUUGCGAUAUACUGCAAGCGGCCAAGCGAAAGCGUUAAGUAUUCCACCUGGGGAGUACGCCGGCAACGGUGAAACUCAAAGGAAUUGACGGGGGCCCGCACAAGCGGAGGAACAUGUGGUUUAAUUCGAUGAUACGCGAGGAACCUUACCCGGGCUUAAAUUGCAGAUGAAUUACGGUGAAAGCCGUAAGCCGCAAGGCAUCUGUGAAGGUGCUGCAUGGUUGUCGUCAGCUCGUGCCGUGAGGUGUCGGCUUAAGUGCCAUAACGAGCGCAACCCUUGUUGUCAGUUACUAACAGGUUCCGCUGAGGACUCUGACAAGACUGCCAUCGUAAGAUGUGAGGAAGGUGGGGAUGACGUCAAAUCAGCACGGCCCUUACGUCCGGGGCUACACACGUGUUACAAUGGGGGGUACAGAGGGCCGCUACCACGCGAGUGGAUGCCAAUCCCCAAAACCUCUCUCAGUUCGGACUGGAGUCUGCAACCCGACUCCACGAAGCUGGAUUCGCUAGUAAUCGCGCAUCAGCCACGGCGCGGUG
rnacentral:rRNA from 1 species